rnacentral:rRNA from 1 species
CCUACGGGAGGCAGCAGUAGGGAAUCUUCCGCAAUGGACGAAAGUCUGACGGAGCAACGCCGCGUGAACGAUGAAGGCCUUCGGGUCGUAAAGUUCUGUUGUUAGGGAAGAACAAGUGCUAGUUGAAUAAGCUGGCACCUUGACGGUACCUAACCAGAAAGCCACGGCUAACUACGUGCCAGCAGCCGCGGUAAUACGUAGGUGGCAAGCGUUGUCCGGAAUUAUUGGACGUAAAGCGCGCGCAGGCGGUUUCUUAAGUCUGAUGUGAAAGCCCCCGGCUCAACCGGGGAGGGUCAUUGGAAACUGGGAAACUUGAGUGCAGAAGAGGAAAGUGGAAUUCCAAGUGUAGCGGUGAAAUGCGUAGAGAUUUGGAGGAACACCAGUGGCGAAGGCGACUUUCUGGUCUGUAACUGACGCUGAGGCGCGAAAGCGUGGGGAGCAAACAGGAUUAGAUACCCUGGUAGUCCACGCUGUAAACGAUGAGUGCUAAGUGUUAGAGGGUUUCCGCCCUUUAGUGCUGAAGUUAACGCAUUAAGCACUCCGCCUGGGGAGUACGGUCGCAAGACUGAAACUUAAAGAUAGUAGACGNGUAGAGUAGCGACGAGACACAGGGAGGUAGAG